rnacentral:rRNA from 1 species
AUUGAACGCUGACGGCAUGCCUUACACAUGCAAGUCGAACGGCAGCGCGGGAGCAAUCCUGGCGGCGAGUGGCGAACGGGUGAGUAAUAUAUCGGAACGUGCCCAGUAGUGGGGGAUAGCCCGGCGAAAGCCGGAUUAAUACCGCAUGAGACCUGAGGGUGAAAGCGGGGGAUCGCAAGACCUCGCGCUACUGGAGCGGCCGAUAUCAGAUUAGCUAGUUGGUGGGGUAAAGGCCUACCAAGGCAACGAUCUGUAGUUGGUCUGAGAGGACGACCAGCCACACUGGGACUGAGACACGGCCCAGACUCCUACGGGAGGCAGCAGUGGGGAAUUUUGGACAAUGGGCGCAAGCCUGAUCCAGCAAUGCCGCGUGCAGGAAGAAGGCCUCGGUUGUAACUAGCUUUGUC